rnacentral:rRNA from 1 species
CAGUCGCCGCGGGAAUACGUAGGUGGCAAGCGUUGUCCGGAAUUAUUGGGCGUAAAGGGCUCGCAGGCGGUUUCUUAAGUCUGAUGUGAAAGCCCCCGGCUCAACCGGGGAGGGUCAUUGGAAACUGGGAAACUUGAGUGCAGAAGAGGAGAGUGGAAUUCCACGUGUAGCGGUGAAAUGCGUAGAGAUGUGGAGGAACACCAGUGGCGAAGGCGACUCCCUGGUCUGUAACUGACGCUGAGGAGCGAAAGCGUGGGGAGCGAACAGGAUUAGAUACCCGAGUAGUCCCUGUCUCUUAUAC